CUACGGAGGGUGCAAGCGUUACUCGGAAUCACUGGGCGUAAAGCGCGCGCAGGCGGCUAUUUAAGUUGGAUGUGAAAGCCUACGGCUCAACCGUAGAACUGCAUCCAAAACUAUUUAGCUAGAGUGUGGGAGAGGAAGAUGGAAUUAGUUGUGUAGGGGUAAAAUCCGUAGAGAUAACUAGGAAUACCAAAAGCGAAGGCAAUCUUCUGGAACAUUACUGACGCUGAGGCGCGAAAGCGUGGGGAGCAAACAGGAUUAGAAACCCCUGUAGUCC
rnacentral:rRNA from 1 species